UGCCAUUUAUAAAAACGACAGGGGUAAAGUAAGGACAAAGGAAUUACAUUCCUCCAUGCAAGGACGUGUUCUUUGGAAAAGUCAUCCUUAGUAAAUGUGCCAAUGUCACAUUAACUAUUGGUUGCACCAAGAAACAGGAUGGGUUACAUAAAGAGACCAGGAUCCACUUCUUAGGGACAAACGCUGUCGCUGCCACCGCAAACGCUCAACUAGCUCAUUAUG